rnacentral:rRNA from 1 species
UUGGACGGCAUUCGUUUGAUAAAUUAAAACUACGGUGCGUUGGGGAUAGAUGUGCGUCUGAUUAGCUAGUUGGUGAGGUAACUGCUCACCAAGGCGACGAUCAGGUAGGGGGCGUGAGAGCGUGGCCCCCCACACGGGUACUGAGACACGGACCCGACUCCUACGGGAGGCAGCAGUAAGGAAUAUUGGUCAAUGGAGGGAACUCUGAACCAGCCAUGCCGCGUGAAGGAUGACGGCCCUCUGGGUUGUAAACUUCUUUUGGAUGGGGCGAAAAAACGGGAUUUAUCCUGGACUGACGGUACCAUCAGAAUAAGCACCGGCUAACUCCGUG